AAGAUUCCCUCUUCUACACUGCCAUGCUGCCAGCAGAGAGGUCACUGAAAGCACAGAAGACAGGCUCCUUGCUCUCAGGUCCUGUGCCUGAUCCUACCUUACUCGGAAGCAGUAAAGGAAAAGCCAUUUCAGAGAAAGUCUUUCUGUGCCCUGGAAUGGGACAUAUGAUGCUCAGUCGGCCCCACGGCGUUGUUGCAUGAACAGCCCAGCACUGUUGGGGUGCAAAUGGAUGCCUGCUCAGUCACUCAGAGGAUAGCCUGUGUAUACUUGUCACACUAGGGGCGGAGGGCCUCAAACAUGCUCAAUGUGGAUGACAUCUGCAGAGAUGAGUAGCCGUGACGCUCUUGCGAAUCUCCGCUGUAUGAAACAAUUCUUCAAAGACUUUUCAUCCUGGGAGAAUCUGGCCAUUACAAAGGCCUGCCCCGUGCACUCUCACAUGACAACAGCUUCACCAUAUAAAAACAAUCGUUCCCUGCCCCCAGUAAAUAAUUUUCUGGUUUGAUCUAAUUUUGCAAAUUAUUUCUUAGCUCAGACACUAAGAAAUAAUUUCUUACAAGUGAAAAGCAGAAGUCUCUUGCUGAAAGAAAUUCUGUACCCCUUACUAGGAUUGGAUAAUACUCACUGCAAGGAGACAGUUUGUUUUAGUAGUUAACACACAGACUGCAUCUGGGUUGUGUUCAGUUACUGACUGCGCUCACACCUCAUGAAAACCUGAGCAAAUCUUUCAGUCUUUCCUAUGCUUCAACUUCUCCUAUUUGUAGAACGGAAGUCUUACUAACCGUACUUUCCAGGAUCCUCAGGAGAGCCCUUUGAGAAAAAAAAGCUUGAAGUACAAGAUAUUAUUAAAUCCCCUUGUUUUAUCAGGCUCGUUUCAGAGCAAGGAAAAAGAGUUCAACAUGGGUAGUAUGGUGUGAGCAAAGCUGAUUUAAUAGGUACAAAUACAACGUUAAAAUUAAGCUGGUGGUGUGGAAAUUCCUUUUAACUGACAAAUUAAGUUGAAUGACAAGCAUGAGUUUGUGCAGUAACGUAUCACGCAGAGUGUAAGUGAAGUGUGAGUGGUAUAAAGCACAGUUGGAACAAAUUAGAUUAGCUUUCCCAUGUCGCAUAUUAUUUACCCUGAAGAACCAAAAUAGCUUUGGUAUGAAAUGUUAAACCCAAUUUCCUGCUUUAGUCCAACACAGGAAACCCCCUGCCAUUUAGCUGGAGUUUCUUACUGGAAUGGCACAUUUUCAUUAAAGCAAGAGUUUUGCUCUCUUUAACCAACAGAAUAUCCUCUUCCCCCACUUUUCAAAUGUAAAGUGAGGCUGGGAUGAAUUAGAGGGCAAGAAACAAGAAAAUAAGGGCAAUGUAAAUAUGUAAAUAUAUUAACAGGAACCUUCCUAGGAAACUAUUACACAAACAUCAUGCCACAAAGGCAGUAAUUCCCACACAGCAACACUCUGUUUGUAAUUGCUGGUGACAGGCCCACACAGGGACUUAAUUCACCUUCAAUCCUACCCCAAUUCCACAGCAUGUAAACUCUACAGCAUGCCAUUUAUCUUUCAUGCACAGCAAUAUUGACACACUCCAUCAUAAUCCACCUCGGUAGUGCUGUGCCGCAUUAAUGCUUUUAAAGUAUUUGAACAUCUUUUGAUUCUUAUCAAGACAGGUGUUUGCAGCAACAAGGAAGUGUCUGCUAGAUACAGCCAUGGUUUGAUAGCAGCAUCAACAUCCAGAUGCUGGAUCUUAACCACAGAGAGGUGUGCCUUGGGAUCCAUUCCCAUUCUUCCUUUAGAUCAAGUAUCCCAACUAUGUGGAACUCACAUUCAGUCAAUAGGGUUUUCUUCUCAGAUUGCUAAAUAUGUAUUUAAUUUCUGGGACCAGCAAGAAAAAGGUAAGUUUCACAAAAACAAAAAAUUACCAGCAUGUAGAACAGAUCCACGAUGGCAAGCAUCUAUGACAUGCUGCAAAUCUAGUACUGUAUGAUCAAUUCAGGCAUAAAACAGGUUUCUCUUUCACCUUGCAUGAAAGUUGUGGUCAUGCAAGGGCACCCAUGCCAGCUUAUCAAGAGAUCUUGAGGUUUUGCACUGGCAGCACACUUAUUCACAGUAACAGAGAGCCCAGCACUGAAGUCAGCAGUGAAGUGAGUUGCUAUUGUGCUAAACACAAAUGCAAGAAAUGGAAAUGCACUGUCAUUAACACAGUACCAUGAUUUUUGCAAUGUUAUUUAUUGCACUGGAAUUUAUACUGCUUCCUGAAAUGAGUUUUCAACCUGUCACAGACCUGUUGCUUUCAUCUGUAUUGGCAGUGUUUUUUCUGCCAUCUUUAUUGCCAUUCCAGUCGUCAGAGUCAUCACCUUAGACACUAGACACCCAUGACAAAUUAUUAAAAAGCAAUUUACCAAAGACACUGCAAACUAACAGACUCUCUCUGCACAAAGGAGUGCUUAAAAAGCUGAGGCUUUUCCCCCUUCUCAGUUCCAAUAAAACCCUAAUUCCUCAGCAAACCUGUCAUCCUAGAAGGACUGCCUCUCUUUGGGGUUUUUAUGUUAUAUUUUCACAGCUUUGAAGUCCAAUCUAACAUUUACAAAGUAUUCUUUACUUUUACAUUUCUACCACGUAUUUUGAGCUUGGAUUAUUUAAAGUUCACACAAUUUUUUCAAGUAUUGUUUUGGUAUCUAAAUAUACUGAUCUUCCCCAGGAUUUCUUCUGUUUACCUCCAGUAAUCCCCUUGCCCUCCCAAGAAUUUUCUGUGGGCAUGAUUUUCUUGUUGUGCGUCUAAACACGUUACCUAGGAAGUUGACGUUUAGUUCUUAAGAGGCAGGUGACAUCUUCCUGCAGCUGUCUUUUUGCACUUUUGUAUUUUGUCCUCUCUCUCUGUAGAAUGCAACUGUUGCCCACAUUUUUCAUUCUUUACUAAUACCCAACAUAAGGGCAUCAUAUUUUGGUCAGUAAGAUUAAUAUUGUGGCAGACUCUUUGUGUAACUCAUUAAAACUGUGGUUAAAAGACAAGAUUGUUGCCUAUAAAGGAAUGCUAACUUGUGUUUGGCCUCACAUUAGCACAAAUUGUUUUAAUGCAAUUAAGAUUCAACGAAACACUCAAGGGAAUUGCAUUCGUUUUUUUGCUUUGCCUGCUUGGCAGUUUCCCCGAGGAAGACCUACAAUUCUGCACCAGGCAGGAAGGCUGAGUUAGAAAUUAAUAUUCUUUGACUUCAGUAUUUUGGAGAUUCUAAAAAUCAGAACCAGGAAUUGGCUGGCAUGAAGAACAGCAAAUGCCCUUUGGUCCAUUAUAGAGUAAAACCAGCGCAAAACAUUUAACUUACAACAUAUCCCUGGCUUCUAUUGAUUACAGGGAGAGGAAGAAUUGCAUGUCUUCCUACUCUGUGAACAUACAGGUCACGUUUCAACAGCCCCAACAAGAAUCCAUCUUACUAGAAAAGAAAAUGGCAGAUGUUCAACUUCACUACAGAAGACACAUGCCAAGCAAGCACACCCACGGACCAGGGCAAAGCACCAGCUUUUUGUCCACUUUAGUAACUACCUCCUUCACUGAAACUUGACAGGCCCUUACUUCAGUGGAUCUCUGCCAUUUGCAUGGCUCUAGUUGACCACACUUUCAUAAUAGUAAUCCCAUUUGUUCAAGAACUGGAUUCUCUUUUAUGCAUCUUCUGGUAUCUGUGCUACUUGAGUCUGAUUGAUUUGCAUUUUCAAACUUUUCACUGCCUUUUUUUUUUUUUUAAAUGAAAGCAGAGAUUCUCAUGAGGUCAGCUGGCUCCAAGAGUUGGGGGUUAUAGAGAGAGAGAGAGAGCGAGCAAAAACACACCCUUUUCAGCAAAUACUGUUGAAUUCUCAAUAACGAUGUUUGGUAACCUUGCUUUUUCUCUAAGCUUGUGCGCAAACCUUGACUCUCCACAAUCAGAAAAUAUUCAAAAUGCUUUCCACAUAUAAUAGGUGUCAUUUUGACUUUAUUUAAGGAAAAAUGGGGAAAAACAGUAAUUUCCAUAAUACACAGAAGACAAGUUAGAUAGCACUGCAAAAAAAAGGCUGAGUGUUUACUUGUCACCAGUCUGCUUUGCAGCUCUACGAUUAGUAAUUUUAAUGCAGUUUGUCAUUGUAUUAUUGUUUAGCAUCUUUAUAAAUCAGCAGAGUUUGGGGUUAUAAAUCACAAAAAAGUGUACUAGUACUAAUAUGAAAAACUAAAAAAAAUCCACAAAAAUCACUUUCAAAUAAACCAUAAAUAUGUGAUGCACAUUAGUGUAACAAAACCAUUUUUGUAAACAUUUUCUCCAACAUAACAUGUGCAUAAGAUAAAAAAUAAAACACUGCAGUCAUACAGUUAGGGUUACUUUGACUUAAAAGAUACAGAAAAUUAUUACUUAAAGCUUAAAACUAAAUCUAGGAGCCUUUUUUUCCCUUUGCUUACAAAAGCACUGUUUAAAAGAGUUCAGCAUUUUAUAUGUAGUGGUUUUGUAACACUGAUUUUAAACUUGUAGAUUUGCCACCGCGGCUCUUCUGUGGAGGAGGAAGCUGCCAUCCAGCAUCUCCAGCAAAGGAGUUUCCCUCCAGAACCAUCAGAACUUCCAACAGCAUGUAUCCUUAACCUGGGAAUCCCUAUAGCAUCGCAACAUUUUCACCAACAAGAACAGAAUCAGUUUCCAAGGACUAAAUCCAUUUUUACCACACAGCGCUGCAAGAAUUAAACCAUGCAGGAUGACACUGGAUUGAUGUGUUCCAGCACACUAUCCUACAGGGCCAUUGUGUCAUUGCACCCUAUGAGCACAUUGGUCCUCUGAGUCCCCUUAGAUCUUCGUAAUACAAAGAAGCAAUCGCUCUUCGGGCUGAUUGCAAUUUAGAUACAAAACAAAUGCAUCCCUCAUCCUCGACCUUCAGUGCUAUCCAAAAGUCAAACAAUUAAAAAAAAUAUUUUUAAGUACUCUUCUGCCAGCAAAUGUAAGGCUUUCUUGGUGUUUAAGAACUUAUGUGUGUGUGUGCCUU